CACUGUAAGUAGAAUUCCUCAGGAGCUGGGCACUGCUCACCUCAAAGCUGAUGCAGUAGAAAGAACCUGGGACCUCAUGCAUGAGCCAGCAAGGGAAGAAUUCUUCCCAAGUCGGACUCCCGGAUCUCUACCUGCAGAGUUUGGUGGAAGCAAAGUGGGGGAACUGUAUCCAUAGAGAAGAACACACCGGCGGGCCUUCCUUGUCACCUGGCGAUGGGGACUGGAACCACAGAAACAGCGUCUAGGAGAAAAUAGGUUAGCCAUCCUGCUACCUGUUGGCAGCUCAGCGGCUGCUC